AUUGAACGCUGGCGGCAGGCCUAACACAUGCAAGUCGAGCGAGCGGCGGACGGGUGAGAACUGUCUGGUAACCUGCCUGAUGGAGGGGGAUAACUACUGGAAACGGUAGCUAAUACCGCAUACCAUCGGAUUUGCCCAGAUGGGAUUAGCUAGUAGGUGGGGUAAUGGCUCACCUAGGCGACGAUCCCUAGCUGGUCUGAGAGGAUGCCCAGCCACAGGGGAACUGAGGCACGGUCCAGACUCCUACGGGAGGCAGCAGUGGGGAAUAUUGCACAAGGGGCACAAGCCUGAUGCAGCCACGCCGUGUAUGAAGAAGGCCUUCGGGUUGUAAAGUACUUUCAGCGGGGAGGCGUUACCCGCAGAAGAAGCACCGGCUAACUCCGUGCCAGCAGCCGCGGUAAUAC
rnacentral:rRNA from 1 species